rnacentral:rRNA from 1 species
GAGUUUGAUCCUGGCUCAGGACGAACGCUGGCGGCGCGCCUCAUACAUGCAAGUCGAACGAGAAGCCCGGAGCUUGCUCUGGGUGGAAAGUGGCGAACGGGUGAGGAACACGUGAGGAACCUGCCCUGGAGACCGGGAUAACACCGGGAAACCGGUGCUAAUACCGGAUGCCCUCAUCGGACCGCAUGGUCUGAUGAGGAAAUGGAUUCCGCUCCAGGAUGGUCUCGCGGCCUAUCAGCUUGUUGGCGGGGUAAUGGCUCACCAAGGCAAUGAUCGGUAGCCGGUCUGAGAGGAUGGCCGGCCACACUGGAACUGAGACACGGUCCAGACUCCUACGGGAGGCAGCAGUGGGGAAUCUUGCGCAAUGGGCGAAAGCCUGACGCAGCAACGCCGCGUGGGGGAUGAAGCUUCUCGGAGUGUAAACCCCUUUCGACCCGGACGAACCCCCGCAAGGGAUUGACGGUACGGGUAGAAGAAGCCCCGGCUAACUACGUGCCAGCAGCCGCGGUAAAACGUAGGGGGCCAGCGUUGCUCGGAAUUACUGGGCGUAAAGGGUCCGUAGGCGGUGCGGCAAGUCGGAAGUGAAAUCUCAGGGCUUAACCCUGAGGCUGCUCCCGAAACUGCCGUGCUCGAGUGCGAGAGAGGCGAGUGGAAUUGCAGGUGUAGCGGUGAAAUGCGUAGAUAUCUGCAGGAACAUCUGAGGCGAAAGCGGCUCGCUGGAUCGCAACUGACGCUGAGGGACGAAAGCGUGGGGAGCAAACAGGAUUAGAUACCCUGGUAGUCCACGCCGUAAACGAUGAGAACUAGAUGUUGGUAGGCUUGACCUAUUAGUAUCGAAGCUAACGCGAUAAGUUCUCCGCCUGGGGAGUACGGCCGCAAGGCUAAAACUCAAAGGAAUUGACGGGGGCCCGCACAAGCGGUGGAGCAUGUGGUUUAAUUCGAUGCAACGCGAAGAACCUUACCUACCCUUGACAUCCAAAGAAUUUUGCAGAGAUGUGAAAGUGCCGAAAGGAACUUUGAGACAGGUGCUGCAUGGCUGUCGUCAGCUCGUGUUGUGAGAUGUUGGGUUAAGUCCCGCAACGAGCGCAACCCUCGUCUUCAGUUGCCAUCGGGUUAAGCCGGGCACUCUGAAGAAACUGCCGGUGAUAAGCCGGAGGAAGGCGGGGAUGACGUCAAGUCCUCAUGGCCCUUAUGGGCUGGGCUACACACGUGCUACAAUGGCGGUGACAGAGGGACGCGAAGGAGCGAUCCUUCAGCCAAUCUCGAAAAGCCGUCUCAGUUCGGAUUGCUCUCUGCAACUCGAGAGCAUGAAGUUGGAAUCGCUAGUAAUCGCGGAUCAGCAUGCCGCGGUGAUACGUUCCCGGGCCUUGUACACAC